AUGGCAGCAUGUCAACCCACACAUCCCCGGGCACAAUCGCAGCCCACCCCAACACUCUCCCACGCCCGACCCCACCAUGCUCUCUCUUCCUUGUCCCGCACGAUCUCUCUCCCUUAUCCCACACAAAUAUCUCUCUCUCGUACCUAUCUCUCUCUGAUGUACGCACGGAGCCUACCCCCACCACCUCGCCCGCAUCUUGAUCCACUCGCCAGCGCCACCAGCCGCGGCUCCUUCGGCCGGCAAACCCUCCGCCACCGCCGGCAGACCUUCAUCCUCCCCUUCCUCUGCUCCACCUCCUUCGACUCCCUCCUUCCCCUUCCUGUGGGCAGGGCGACCGGCGCGGGAGGCCGCUUCGGCUCCUCCAGCGAGGGCUGGUGGCACAAGCCCCGCUUGGCCGGUGCGGGAGGCCGCUUCGGCUCCUCCAGCGGGGGCGGGCAGAGCGGCCGGCGCGGGAGGCCGCUGCAGCUUCUCUAG
rnacentral:rRNA from 1 species